AGAAAGAACUGCAGAAAUUGGUGACAUAGCUCGGAAUAUUAGGAUAAUAAAAAAGGGGAAAGGCUAUCUCAUUUUAGUAUAUUUCUUCUCCCCUCUUCCCUCUUCUUGUUCUUGGAGUUGGUGGUGUCCCCAGAGCUAAAAAGGCCCCGCCUUUUGGCUCGUUCCCAGACUCACCACCUGCUCCAAGAAAAGCUUCCUGGGAAGAUGGCGCGCGCCGAGAAGGUUGCCGGCGAUGGCUUCUCCGGCGGCGAAGGGCACGUGGAGGUGGAGGUCGGCCUGGGGGCGGACGUCAAGGGGGUGAUUGAGUGCCGGAUAUGUCAGGAGGAGGGGGAAGAGAGCGCCAUGGACUCACCCUGCGCUUGCACUGGCACGCUCAAGUUCGCCCACAGGAAAUGCAUACAGAGAUGGUGCAACAAGAAGGGGAACAUUACAUGUGAAAUCUGCAACCAGGUUUACUCACCAAAUUAUGUCCUCCCUCCACCCAAAUGCUGUUCAGAUGAAAUGGACAUGGAUCUUAGGCAAAACUGGGUUGGAAGAAUCGAUACUCAUGAUUCUCAUUUUUUAGCCAUUGCCAUCGCAGAGCAGCAGCUGCUGCAAGCUGAAUUUGAGGAUUGUGUAUCUGCAAAUUCUAGUGGUGUCACAUGCUGCCGAACCAUUGCUUUAAUUUUGAUGUUCCUUUUACUUGUGCGCCAUGUAAUUGUCAUUGUGAGGGAUAUUAGCAUGCUACAAGAUGUAACAGUGCUGUUCAGUGCAACUCUUCAGUUUGCAGGAUUCUUUCUUCCUUGUUAUGUAAUAGCACGUUCUUGUUAUGCUUUGCAACAUCGGAGACGAAGACAGGUGUAGGGACUUGUCUGAAACCUUGAAGAACAUCAGACGUACCAACUGAAACACCAUCUUGGUACCAGGCUACCAAGUACCCCGAAGAAAGAUGGAAGCUUGCAAAAAAACAGUUACGAUGUUAUACGAGUCCAUCGGUGAAAACAGUUCAGAUUGGAAACAAAAUACUGUUCAGAUUGGAACAAUAGAUUUCAUGUGCAGAUUGUCCAGGAAGGGUACAGCUUUGUGCAUGAGAUAUGUACGCCUUUGUAUUACUAGAGAGGAAGAGGUCAUGUGAUCAAAUGUGGAAAUGCAUAUGACCAAAGCUUUUUUUUUUACAUUCUUUUACCCUCUUUAUUGAGUUAAAGCUCCGGGAAACAACCAGUACUACAUCAACUAAUUUUCAUGAAUCACAGUGCCAGCUACCUGACUGUAAUAGGAACGGGAUACAAGUAUGCCAGAAAUAACACUACAGAAGCUUCUUAUACAAACA